CCUACGGGAGGCAGCAGUGAGGAAUAUUGGUCAAUGGACGAGAGUCUGAACCAGCCAAGUAGCGUGAAGGAUGACUGCACUAUGGGUUGUAAACUUCUUUUAUAAAGGAAUAAAACGAGGCACGUGUGCCUUUUUGCAUGUACUUUAUGAAUAAGGAUCGGCUAACUCCGUGCCAGCAGCCGCGGUAAUACGGAGGAUCCGAGCGUUAUCCGGAUGUAUUGGGUUUAAAGGGAGCGUAGAUGGGUUGUUAAGUCAGUUGUGAAAGUUUGCGGCUCAACCGUAAAAUUGCAAUUGAUACUGGCAGUCUUGAGUACAGUUGAGGUAGGCGGAAUUCGUAGUGUAGCGGUGAAAUGCUUAGAUAUCACGAAGAACCCCGAUUGCGAAGGCAGCUUACUAAACUGUGACUGACAUUGAUGCUCGAAAGUGUGGGUAUCAAACAGGAUUAGAUACCCCUGUAGUC
rnacentral:rRNA from 1 species